AAGACCAUACUUUCAAGGAUCAUUUCUGUAGUUUGUUACAAAAAAAAAAUGGCCUAUGGCCAGUUCUUACAGAGGC
rnacentral:snoRNA from 1 species